GACGAACGCUGGCGGCGUGCUUAACACAUGCAAGUCGAACGGAAAGGCCCUGCUUUUGUGGGGUGCUCGAGUGGCGAACGGGUGAGUAACACGUGAGUAACCUGCCCUUGACUUUGGGAUAACUUCAGGAAACUGGGGCUAAUACCGGAUAGGAGCUCCUGCUGCAUGGUGGGGGUUGGAAAGUUUCGGCGGUUGGGGAUGGACUCGCGGCUUAUCAGCUUGUUGGUGGGGUAGUGGCUUACCAAGGCUUUGACGGGUAGCCGGCCUGAGAGGGUGACCGGCCACAUUGGGACGGAGAUACGGCCCAGACUCCUACGGGAGGCAGCAGUGGGGAAUAUUGCACAAUGGGCGGAAGCCUGAUGCAGCAACGCCGCGUGCGGGAGGACGGCCUUCGGGUUGUAAACCGCUUUCGCCUGUGACGAAGCGUGAGUGACGGUAAUGGGUAAAGAAACACCGGCUAACUACGU
rnacentral:rRNA from 1 species